GUUAGACUCUUCAUAGUAAUUAAGUAAAAGCUCCAGUUCAAAUUGACAUGGCUUUUACAGAAGGAGAAUUCAUUGACUCAGAGAGGCUAGAAGAGAAUGAAACUAGAUAUCCUCUAAUUGUGUGCCAGGUACUCGGUCAUUGUGCUUUGACGCCUGCCUCCAUAACCCUGUCCUGGAUCCAAUUAACCAGCUGUGAGCACUGCCCUGAAGACACAGACAAGAGCACCUACUCUCAGGGACCAGGG